rnacentral:lncRNA from 1 species
UCAAAAUCAGACCUUUGGCCACUAAAACGACGACCUAGGGCAAAAUAGGGAUUCAUUCAAAGAUCAAAGGUUAGGAUUUGAGAACUAGCUUGAAGUUUUUUCUAAGAACAUAAGAAUUGUUUUGAGAAGGUUUUGGAGGACUUAAUAAUUGUUGUUCAAAGUCAGGGUUUGUAUCAAUGAUUUGGGUUUUAUAUAAUAUAAUUAGGGCUAGAUAUUUUGGCUAGUUCGUGCAAUUGGUGUGACAUCUAUGGUUGAAAACUUGAAAAUAUUUGGAUUAUUUAGUGUGUUAAGUGUAUACAAAAUUUUGUAAUAAUCUAACAGCAUGGUUUAGAGAUAUCUAGUUUUUAGCACAAGAGGGUUUCGGAAGGUGGCAGUUUGAGGUUGGGUAGGAUUUCUAUAAUAUCUAAAGAUCUAUCAGUCGGAUUAAAGUGAAAAUUGGCAUGAUGUUGAAGGACUUGAAGAUCAAGCUAUACACCAAUUUUGAGACAAAGUUAGUAUUUGAAAAGGGAGAAAUCAUUGCUGGGAUUUCUACUUCACUUUUCAAGUUGGCAGCCGAGUGACAUUAGUGCAAUUUUUGGAGGUUUUCUCACAAUCUAUAAGUUGGAUUGGGCUAAAAAUUCUUAAGCAUAUAGAAGACUUACAUUAACAAUUGUAUG